GCCAGAGUUCUCAUGGGAAGGCACCAUCGAAGGGCAUAGAUAUGACAUAAUUCUACAGGUCGAGGAGUUUCGCAGACAUAACUCCUUGGGAGCAGUGCCCAGGUCAAGAAAGAAAAUGUGGCCAAUGCCCCAGGAUCUUAUUUGGUCAUCCAGGCUGGACUGCAGUGGUGUGAUCAUAGCUCACUGCAGCCUCAAACUGCUGGACUCCAGUGAUCUUCCAGCCUCAGCCUCCCCCGGUAGCAAGGACUACAGGGUCCCAGAAGGAACCAACGCUGCCCACACCUUAAUUUGAGACUUCUGGCCUCUGAGAAAUGAGAAAGAGUCUCACUCUCUGUCGCCCAGCCUGGAGUGCAGUGGCAUCAUCUGAGCUCACUACAACCUCCGCCUCCCGGGUUCAAGCGAUUCUCCUGCCUCAGCCUCCUGAGUAGCUGGGACUACAGGCACGCGCCACCACGCCCAGCUAAUUUUCGUAUUUUUAAUAGACAUGGGGUUUCACCAUGUUGGCCAGGCUGCUCUUGAACUGCUAACCUCAAGUGAUCCACCAGCGUUGGCCUCUCAAAGUACUAGGAUUACAGUGCUAGGAGCCACCAUGCCCGGCCGCCUCUCUUUUCUUUUACACAUGAAGAAAAAGUGGUCAGAGAAGUUAACUUGGUCAGUGCCAAAAGCACUGGAAGUGAGUAGGACCAAGCUUUUCAUCUAGAUUUGUUUGUUAGACUCUAAAUCCAAAUUCACAACAAGAUCAGAAUAUGAGAAACCUAAGGAACAAAAUUCUAGGAAUCAUUUCUAGAAACUGUGGCUAUUGAAAAAGCACAGACCUAGGGAAUCAAAUUAUUUUCCCUGCCACCAGCACAUGGGUAGGCCUGUGACAAAUUCCAUGCUCUGGACCCCAGAUUCCUCAGUGAGAAUAGAAGGGGCUAGAGACAUCAGGGAAUUGGAUUUGGUGACUUUAAUACCCACUCAGCUCCAAAGCAUUCUUGAAUGAUGCACGAUUUAUGAAUAUAUAUAUUGAAAUUUACUGAUGGGUGAACAGCUCUCAACAUGAGAUUUUUGUUGUAUGCCUUAAAAAAGAUUAUACAUAAAUAUGCGUGUGUGUGUGUAUGUAUGUUUCGAUGUAUAUGAACCCAUGAUCUGAAAAAUGGCCACUGUGGCUUGUGGAAACCUAUUAAUCUCUGCUGUUCCACCCAACAUCCUCAGAGAAAAAAAUAAACAACUUUUUGAAAGUGCUGCCAUGGGGUCAGACCAAAUACUGUGGCCACUUCCAAGGGGUUUGCCUUGAUUUGCCUGGAUUCCUGUUCAUGUGACAUCUGCCUUCUAAUUCAAGGAUAUGAUCAAUUCAAUGUGUGAGUUAUCAAUCAAGGACUGGCAACAGUGAUGCUGAACAAGCCUGGUGGAAGGAAAGAGAAGGCAGGCCAGAGCCCAGACAGACGCAUUCACAAACCUUACAAAGAGGACAGGCUAAUUAGGGGCUGUAGUUCUCCCUCUCUUUAUAGUUGGUAUAAGAGGAGUGGUAAUCGUAGUGUCCAAAAAUAUAUGGGCUACAUAGUUGCUUAGUAAGCUGUGGGUAUGUGGUUUCUUCUGCAAGGUGCUUUCUUUCUGAUAAAGAGAUUACGUUGUUUGUUUGUUCAUUUAUUGAACAUAUUUACACUUACACACACACACACACACACACACAAUGUUCCAGAUACCGUACUUGGCAAUGGUAGUUAGACCUUGCUCUUGCAAAAUUUAUAAUGAAGUUGGGAAGUGUGGUUUGAUCCCUCAAAGUGUCCAAAUCCUAAUCCCCAG
rnacentral:lncRNA from 1 species